GUUACGGCUCUGACAGCUUCAUCCUGAGGCAUUGAUCGGAUAAACUGCACCCUCUAGUGGAAACAACGCUUCUGUUUUUGUUUGUGUUAAUAGGAAGUUCCUGGGUUUUUUUUGUUUUUGUUUUUUUUUUUUAAAUCAAAUGACAUUUAUUAUUGAUGCAUUGUUUCUUUUUUAUAAGCAAAUUAUCUGUUUUUUCUUUCAGUCUAAAGAAACUUUACAAUAUAAAGAAACAUACAAAGAACAUCUUUAUUACCUACACAAGACACAUACAUCACAUGACCAGCUGAGCGCUCCAGCUGCAGAGGACUGGUCAGCCCUAAAGCAUCGCUGAGAUGUUCAGAAGUUCUGCAUUGAUCCCAAAGUCAUCAAUAAAUGAAAGUUUGUGUUUCAGUGGUUCUGGAGUCUCCUGGGCCCUCGGACCGGUCCAGACCCGGGUCCACCAGAGCCAAGGAGCUGGUUCUGGACUGAACCGGACCUGGACCAACAGUAAA